rnacentral:rRNA from 1 species
AGUGAACGCUGGCGGUAGGCCUAACACAUGCAAGUCGAACGGCAGCACAGUAAGAGCUUGCUCUUACGGGUGGCGAGUGGCGGACGGGUGAGGAAUAAAUCGGAAUCUACUUUUUCGUGGGGGAUAACGUAGGGAAACUUACGCUAAUACCGCAUACGACCUACGGGUGAAAGCAGGGGAUCUUCGGACCUUGCGCGAUUGAAUGAGCCGAUGUCGGAUUAGCUAGUUGGCGGGGUAAAGGCCCACCAAGGCGACGAUCCGUAGCUGGUCUGAGAGGAUGAUCAGCCACACUGGAACUGAGACACGGUCCAGACUCCUACGGGAGGCAGCAGUGGGGAAUAUUGGACAAUGGGCGCAAGCCUGAUCCAGCCAUACCGCGUGUGUGAAGAAGGCCUUCGGGUUGUAAAGCCCUUUUGUUGGGAAAGAAAAGCAGCAGGUUAAUACCCCGCUGUUCUGACGGUACCCAAAGAAUAAGCACCGGCUAACUUCGUG